rnacentral:rRNA from 1 species
CGUGAACGCUGGCGGUAGGCCUAACACAUGCAAGUCGAACGGCAGCACAGUAAGAGCUUGCUCUUACGGGUGGCGAGUGGCGGACGGGUGAGGAAUACAUCGGAAUCUACUUUUUCGUGGGGGAUAACGUAGGGAAACUUACGCUAAUACCGCAUACGACCUACGGGUGAAAGCAGGGGAUCUUCGGACCUUGCGCGAUUGAAUGAGCCGAUGUCGGAUUAGCUAGUUGGCGGGGUAAAGGCCCACCAAGGCGACGAUCCGUAGCUGGUCUGAGAGGAUGAUCAGCCACACUGGAACUGAGACACGGUCCAGACUCCUACGGGAGGCAGCAGUGGGGAGUAUUGGACAAUGGGCGCAAGCCUGAUCCAGCCAUACCGCGUGGGUGAAGAAGGCCUUCGGGCUGUAAAGCCCUUUUGUUGGGAAAGAAAAGCAGCAGGUUAAUACCCCGCUGUUCUGACGGUACCCAAAGAAUAAGCACCGGCUAACUUCGUG